rnacentral:ncRNA from 1 species
GACCGAUCAGGGUAAUCUACCUGAAAGGGUAGUGCACAAAGCUACGGGUCUAAGUCAAGUCCAAUUCAGGAGUUCCCUUCCGGCUCAGGAAAUCUGGGCUCCGCUCAAGCUUCUGCUUUGGACUUGAUAUGACGGCCGGGUUGCCGAA